rnacentral:ncRNA from 2 species
GGCAGUGACACGGGGUGCCGGCGCAUAGAGCCGGCUGAGAAAAGACCCGUUGAACCUGAACUAGUUAGUGCUAGCGGAGGGAUGUCGCCAAUGCCUGCC